UAAAUCUGCGUUAUUUCAGUAAAAGGACAGAUAAAAAACAUGUCAAAAUAUUCUGACUGACAAUUGUUACAAAGAAUGAGUUGCAUUUAACAUUAACGUUCAAUGUCAGAGAGAGAAACUAUUUUCCUAAUCUCUAAGAAAGCAACAGUAACCUCUAUAGUUAUGUACACAUGGGGACCUGAUUCUCCCUUCCUUUCAUCAGUGGCAGUGAACUAGAGCCACAAAAUAUGCAGGCUGAGAGGAGGUAAGCAGGAUAAAUAAACUGAGCUCUCACUGACUGCAUCAUGUUUUCAGGAAGAAAAUCUGGAGGAUCACUUGGGUUCCAGACAACAUGAGAAGCAUUUCUUGUCACAGGUGUAGUGAAGGAGGUUGCUGACCAUUUUACAGUAAAGAUUCAGUGUAUCUAGGAAUGACGAGUUUCAUCUGCUGGGUCUAUUGCUGUUCCAAAGUAGGAAGAGGAUCAACAGGAACUGCGGCUGUUUGUUUUCUAGGAUCUUCAUAUAGGUAAGGUAAUUUUUGCAUCUACCUUUCUCUUAUUCUAGGUGAAAACAUUUGUGAAGUCUGGUCUCACUGAAGUCUCAUCCAAAAGUGCAUGAGCAAUUUUUUGCUCAAAGUUUAGGUAAGCACUCUUAAUUUCAGGAAUGCAAAUCAAAUUACUUUUGAGUCAGCCAAGUCUUCUAACUCGUGCCUUAUGAUAGUAGAUUAUUUUUUCCCAGAUUUUUUCAAUGUAGCAACCACAAAUAUUUCCACAAAAUUAACUUCUAUCAUCUUUAAGAAUUUAAUAGUCAAUUUUGCAAAAGUCGCUCAUCAAGGGAUAAACUGAAAGUCAAAGAACAACAACAAAAUCACCUAAAUCAUAAUUCACAUAGGUGAGGGAAAAAGAAAAAGGAAAAAAAAAAAAAAAGACUGAAAGGCUUCAUCUUUUCUAUGUGAUUUUCAAAUACUUGUGUAUACAGUCACACAAAUUGAAGCACAUAUUUUAGCUGGUGGCUUUGGACAGCUCUUACUAUUGCAUACCAAAAAAAAAAAAAAGUUUUUUGCCAAACAUUGGCUCAAAGCAUGGUUAAAUGAAUGCACCCUGCCUUUCUCUGUUGAUUUUAUAGGGAACCUAAGGAGAUCAAUUUUAUAACUGGAGACACUGGAGACACUGAAAACAGUGCCCAAGGUCUGAGUAGGAGCAGACUACCUGUGCACAGCAUAGAAACAUGGAAUCAUAGAAUCGUUAAGGUUGGAAAAGACCUCCAAGAACAUCUGGUCCAACCAUCCCCCUACCAUAAACAUCAUCCACUAAUCCAUGUCACUAAGCACCACAUCCAACCUCUCCUUGAACACCCCCAGGGACAGUGACUCCACCACCUCUCCCUGGGCAGUCCGUUCCAAUUCCCGACUGCUCUUUGUGAGAAGAAAUUCCUCCUAAUUUCCAACCUAAACCUCCCCUGGCCAAAAAUAUAACUUUUUUUUUUUUUUUUUUUUUCCCUAAUAUGGAUUUUAUAGAUUUUGAGAUAUAUAACAAAAUCUCUUUGAGAUCCAUGGGCUCAAUGUUAAAAAACAAAUGCACCUAGGGUGAAGGAAAUCUGCUUCAUCCUGUCUGUAUGUGCUCAGCCCAGAUCCACCUCCGGGCUCCUUCUAUUUCAAAUCUGCACCACAUAAGAUCUGUAGACUUGUAGUUUCUCAUGUGCAGAAGGUGGGAUAUGAGAAUGUGUGUGAAGCAUUUAUGACAGGGAUAUAGGCAAGGCCAUAUCCACAGAGCUGGUGACAGCCAUGUUCUUGUGUUGGUGCACAGCAUCCCACAGCAGAGACUGCUAUCUUCCAGCCCUUCCAACCUCUCUCCUCUCUCCCAGACUCCUGACCAGGAGACUGACUCCCAUCAGAGUUGUUGUGGCAGGCCACAGGUUCAUGUUAAACAAGAUGCCAUGUUUUAAGGGAUACUGAACAAAACAGACUUUGCUGGAGCUCAGUGGCUGUGAGUGAAUUACAAAUAACAUAGCAAAGGAGACCAAGCUGAUAGCAGAAGAAUAGCUUCAAGUAAGCUGAAAUACAUUGGCAAUGUAACAAAAUGGAGAAGGAAUAAGCAGCCUCUCUUUGUAUGUGCAAGAAAUAGUUGUCAUAAAAAAAUAGAAAAUCAUAGGCAGCCUUUUCAGAUCACACUUUGAAGCUAUUGUGGUCUUAACAGAUACUCAGAGUGGAAGAGAGUGAACUUGAAAAUCUAUUACAUUUAUGGGAUCAGUGAUUAAAUACAUAACAUAAAAGAUACUGUGUUUAAUAAUACUAAGAAAAUAUCCACCUCUUGUUCCCUUGGUUAAAAACUGGGCUUGUCAUCGAGAGCACUCAGAGCAACCAAAUCAUCCAAGAAAGCAUUUGAGGCUAUUUUCUAAGGAUAAGGAAGCCCUUCAUACAGAAGCACAGAAGCUCUCCAGAAGAAGCAACCACUAUUAUUGAGUUUAUAUCUACCACAUCUCCUCCACAUGUGGAUGAAUUGACUACGGGAAAGACACCUUAGUGUAUGGGACAGAGUGUGUGCAUAUGUGCUGCUGAAAGCUGCUGGGCUGAGAUCAAGCUUGAAGUAACUGGCAAGGGCCCCUCUGACUAUGAAGGAUAUAUAUGUUCCCAAACAAUUUUAUUUUGAUCUGACAAUAGAUCAGAAACUCAAUGUGCUUAAAAAGCUUUUCUAUCUUGUGUUCCUUUUGACAAGUUCUCUUUAAGAAAAAUACCAGAAAGAUUCCUCUCAAGGCUUUAGAUGAAAUUAAUUCCUGUCAUAAUGUAUUUCACUUUUUUUCCAGGGUAUAAUUUACCCAAAUUUUGGAUAUAAUCAUGGUGAGAUAGCCAUAAAUCAUAGGUCGGCAUUUUCAGUCUUGAAUACCUAAACCCUGAUAUCUUAAAAUACAUGGCGUUUAUUGAUUUGCCAAAAUAGAAGUUUGCCAAGACAAAACAAAACAAAACAUUUUUUUCCUUCAGAGAGAUCUCUCUUAUGGUCUCUUUUUGUAGCUGAAAAGCACAAUUUAGGUGCUACUGAAGGUUAAAUAAAAGGAAUGUCAAUAACAGCUCCUCUUAUAAAGCAGUGAGAAAUUGUUUCCAUGGAGUGCUCAGACACUAUAAUGAACUGUGGUGAAGAAAUGCUUAGCUCUUUAAAUGACCUUUGGGAACACUGGAGUAUUAGCUAUUAGGAACUGAAUUUGCCUUAAACUACUCUUCACCUAUCCAUUGUGUGCACCUGCAGCCAACUGCAUCCUGGGCUGCACCAACAGAGGAGCGGCCAGCAGGAUGAGGGAGGUAAUUGUGCCUUUCUGCCCUGCCCUCAUGAGGACCCUACCUGGAGUGCUGAAUCUGGGUCUGGGGCCCCCAGCACAAGAAGGAUGUGGGACUAUUAGAGCAGGUCCAGAGGAGGGCCACAAAGUUGGUCAGAGAGCUGGAACACUUCUAUGAAGAAAGGCUGAGAAAGCUAGGGCUGUUCAGCCUGUAGAAGAUAAGGCUCUGGGGUGAAUUUCUUGCAGAUUUUCAGUACUUAAAGAGGCCUUAAAAAAGAUGGAGGAUAACUUUUUACUCAGUCAGAUAAUGACAGGACAAUGGGGAAUGGUUUUAAACUAAAGGAGAGGAGAUUUAGAUUAGAGUUUAGGAAAAAAUUCUUCUCUCAGGGUGGUGAGGAACUGGAACAGGUUGUCCACAGAAGCUGUGGAUGCCUUGUCCCUGGAGGUGGUCAAGACCAGAUGGAUGAAGCCCUGGACAACCCGAUUUAGUGGGUGGCAUCCCUGCCUAUGGCAGGAGGGUUGGAACUAGAUGAUCUUUAAGAUCCCUUCCAACCUGGGCAAUUCUAUGUUUCUAUGAUUCUAUGUAGGUUUAUAUAAUGAAAACUAAAAGCUUAAGGUAGAAAGUGGCCCCAUCCAAGCUGCAAGUAGCUCCUCUUUCCCAUGGUCUGCAUGUGUCUCACUGCACAGGCAGACAGAACUGGUGUAGGAGUCAUGAAGGCCAGGGCAUAAAAAGAGUAGAAACCUCACCUUUCAUCUACCUGCUAGAUGAUGUGUACUGCCACCAAACUCAAGAGUGAAGACUCUCAGAUGGAAGAAUGUUACAUCUCCUCUCAACAACUGCCAUAGUAAUAGGAAUCAGGUAAUGUGUUAAAUCUAGACUACUGGAGAGAGAACUGUGAUUAUUCCUUACCCUUUGGAGGACUGUAUUUGGAGGAGGAGGUAUGGGCAUUUACACAUGAUCAGACAUUUGAAAUUAUUUAGGCUUUCUUUUAUAGAGAGAACAUAUAAAUGUGAAAAUGUUCUGGAAAAAUGCUGUAUGGGAAUUAAAAAAAAAAAAAAAGAAAAAAGCCACCACAAUCUUAACCACAAAGUUAUUGCUUUGCAUUGUACAGCAAUCUGUGGCAAAAGCAAUCUUCUUAAAUCUGUCACCCAAAGUAGGCAAGUUACUUCCUUUUCUUCCACUUAUGAGGACUAGAAAGAUGAAUACUGUCAUACGUAGGGACAUGGUUUAGUGGGUGACAUUUAUAGUAGGGUGAUGGUUGGACCCGAUGAUCUUGAAGGUCUCUUCCAACCUUAAUGAUCCUAUGAUUCCUAUGAUAAAAGUAACAGUGCUCAAAUUGAAAUUUUUGGUAAAGGAAAGAAAAAAUAUGCAGUAAGAAUUCGCUACCAAGUUAAUAACAAAACAUUUGCAUUUGCAAAAAAAUGUAAAAUAUCAAAAUCAUUUUAUGAUCAAACUCCAAGGGUCUAAAAUCAGCUACUUUUGAAUUGACCUGGAUGGGUGAAAGUUGACCUGGAUGAGUGAAAGGUUAUUUUGUGCACUGUGAGGCAUCAGGGUGUUAAAAGAAAUAAACAUUUCCUACUAAGAUUUGUGUAUUAUAAAGUUUUAUAUUCUAAUUUUAAUUAAUACUGUUUUCUUCUGUUUAAACAUGAGCAAUUAAUGAUACAGGCAUUAUGAGAGUAAGUCUCACUAAAUUAAAAAAAAACAAUAAAUUCCUGUUUUUGUAUAUGAGCAUUUUAUAUGACACCUCUU